rnacentral:tRNA from 1 species
UGCGCCGCUAGCUCAGUCGGUAGAGCAGCUGACUCUUAAUCAGCGGGCCGGGGGUUCGAUCCCCUCGCGGCGCACCC